GGUGCCGUACAAGGAGGAGGUAACCGACAGGUGUAGGUGGCGGGGGAGGGACUGUACAGCUUCUUCCGGUACGCUUUUUUGUCGGACGAUUUAUUUGUCCUUUAUCUUCCCUCGUUUCAAAUAAUCGGAUCGGGAGACCAAAGAGCAAACCAAUUUCAUUCCAAAUAUUAAUAACUUUAUUUAUUUUAACUUUAGAAAAUAUCCAUUUUAUAACUUUAACUUUUCAACUAAUAUCAAUACCUUCUUUUCCACCCAUAUGUGUGUGUGAGUCUAGUAGCAUUCUACGUUCUCAAAAUAAACCUAUGAAAAAAGAUAUUGCUUGCAGUAAUGAUUUGGGUUUAUAUAAUGACUUGUGUUUCACAUUAAAUAUGCUAAAAUGAGAAUAAUUUAACUAACAUUUGAAUAAUUAACUUUAACGUUAGAGGUUUGAUUCUCAAUUCUUCAAAGGAAUUAUAUGUUUUAUCUUAUGCCUACCAAAAUUAUGUUUUAUCUUAUGUCUACCAUUUUUGUCACUUUUUCCUCCCUUUGAAAUGUCAUACAAUGUAGAGAAAAGUUAGAGCUAGCCUUAGAGCAAUUUUGUUACUUCAAAUUAUAACAUAACUCCAACCAAAAAUAUUUCAUUUCAAAAGUACUUAGAAGAAAAUACUUUUUAUACUCAUUUAAUGAACAUGUAUAAUCUAAAUACUACAAACUAGUAUAGUGCUUAUAUUAUCAUAAUCAUCGUCAUGGCCAAAGAUUCAAUUUCUCCGUCUGAUGCAUUUAAUUUAUUAUCUUUGAAAUAUACAUAUACAUUAGAGCUAAAUCCUUGUUUAAAUUUGUAGGUUUUAAAUAUACUAACUAUCAAUUCAGGUAAAACUCACUAGAAAUGUAUAUAUAGAUUCAUAUUGUUGAGUAAAUUAACAUUGAAAUAAAAACUCAUUAACGAACUAAACUCCGUUUGAUAAUGAUUUUAUUAUUAUUUAUUUCACAUUUACCUAUUUAGGUAUCUUGUUAUAAUUUUAGUUUGCUUUAAACAAUUAAAAUCUUAGUCAUAUUUUAAAAAUAAUUUUGUUUAACGUUGAUAAACAAAAUAGUGUUCAUGAAUUAACUAAUUUAUAAAAACAACUAAUUAAGGACUAAAUUCUUUUCCUAAUUAAACUUUGGUGGAUUAGGGCGUGUGCUUAGCACGUGGUGGAAUCUUUACGGUUGCAGUGGAUCAGCACAAAUGUUAGCCAAGCCCCGAAAGUUUAACGAAAUGACGGAUUUCACCUCAAAGGAAGGAUCGUAUCGAGCCUUUUGGAAGGGCAAUGGUGUAGUUUUGCAAGCAGUAACUUUGAAAGACGGAUACGGUUGAAAGGGAAACGUUGGAAUGGUUCUGCACGUGCCACGCGUCAUGUAAUGGUUGGCAAAGCAAAGGCGUG
rnacentral:lncRNA from 1 species